rnacentral:rRNA from 1 species
UACGUAGGUGGCAAGCGUUGUCCGGAUUUAUUGGGUUUAAAGGGUGCGUAGGCGGCCCUGUAAGUCAGUGGUGAAAGCCCUUCGCUUAACGAAGGAACUGCCAUUGAUACUGCAAAUCUUGAGUACAUUUGAUGAGGGCGGAAUGUGUCAUGUAGCGGUGAAAUGCUUAGAUAUGACACAGAACACCGAUUGCGAAGGCAGCUCUCAAAACUGUAACUGACGCUGAGGCACGAAAGCGUGGGUAUCAAACAGG